rnacentral:rRNA from 1 species
AAGUCCCGCAAGGGAUUAGUAGAGUGGCAAACGGGUGAGUAACACGUGGGUGACCUGCCUUCGAGUGGGGGAUAACGUCCCGAAAGGGACGCUAAUACCGCAUGACAUCCUGCCUUUGAAGAGGCGGAGAUCAAAGCUGGGGAUCGCAAGACCAAGCGCUCAAAGAGGGGCCCGCGCCUGAUUAGCUAGUUGGCGAGGUAACGGCUCACCAAGGCAUCGAUCAGUAUCCGGCCUGAGAGGGCGGACGGACACACUGGGACUGAGACACGGCCCAGACUCCUACGGGAGGCAGCAGUGGGGAAUUGUUCGCAAUGGGCGCAAGCCUGACGACGCAACGCCGCGUGGAGGAUGAAGACCUUCGGG